GAGUGUAUGGCUCAGUGGUAGAGCAUGUGCUUAGCAUGCACAAGGUCCUGGGUUCAAUCCCCACUACCUCCA
rnacentral:tRNA from 1 species